UAAUUUAAGCCCCAAGCGACCACUGUACAGAAAGGCAAAACGCAAGCCCCUCAAGAAGCUUUCUCAAAAGCAGAACAUGAGCCAUGAUGAGCCACUAAGAGAAGACAUCUAAACCUGUACAGGACAACUUUAUGUGCUCAAAGGUUCAUCAAAAACCACCAACGUGUUGCCUUGGAGUAUUCCCAUAUCUUCCUGAUGUCAUGUUAUUGGCAGCAGGUGCAUUGCUUACACCUGGGCAAUCUCUUGCCCAAUGUCCAUACUGAUGGCAUUUAUAACACUCACCACCACCACCACCACUGCUCAUCCCUGAAGUUGCCCUAUUGCCAAAACCACUUCCAUAUGCCUGGCUCUGACCACUCAUCAUGCUUGGACAGUUUGAAGCACUAUGACCUGUUCCACCACAACUAUUACAGCUCAUAUACAUGCCUGCAGAAGAGCCAGUCGGAGCAUUUUGCGUUCCACUAGGCUGAUUUCCAUAUUGGCCUUGCCGAUUUCCCUGCAGUCCACUUUCUCUGCUGAUACUGCCUGCAGUAGAGCCAGAAGGAGCAAACUGUGAGCCAAUAAGCUGAUUCCCAUAUGGACCUUGCCGAUUUCCCUGCAGUCCACUUUCUCUGCUGAUACUGCCUGCAGUAGAGCCAGAAGGAGCAAACUGUGAGCCAAUAAGCUGAUUCCCAUAUGGA
rnacentral:misc_RNA from 1 species